rnacentral:rRNA from 1 species
CCUACGGGUGGCAGCAGUGAGGAAUAUUGGUCAAUGGACGAGAGUCUGAACCAGCCAAGUAGCGUGAAGGAUGACUGCCCUAUGGGUUGUAAACUUCUUUUAUAAAGGAAUAAAACGAGGCACGUGUGCCUUUUUGCAUGUACUUUAUGAAUAAGGAUCGGCUAACUCCGUGCCAGCAGCCGCGGUAAUACGGAGGAUCCGAGCGUUAUCCGGAUUUAUUGGGUUUAAAGGGAGCGUAGAUGGGUUGUUAAGUCAGUUGUGAAAGUUUGCGGCUCAACCGUAAAAUUGCAAUUGAUACUGGCAGUCGUGAGUACAGUUGAGGUAAGCGGAAUUCGUGGGGUAGCGGUGAAAUGCUUAGAUAUCACGAAGAACCCCGAUUGCGAAGGCAGCUUACUAAACUGUGACUGACAUUGAUGCUCGAAAGUGUGGGUAUCAAACAGGAUUAGAUACCCGGGUAGUC